GACGGAGGAUGCAAGCGUUAUCCGGAAUGAUUGGGCGUAAGGCGUCUGCAGGUGGCAGUUCAAGUCUGCUGUCAAAGACCGGGGCUUAACUUCGGAAAGGCAGUGGAAACUGAACAGCUAGAGUAUGGUAGGGGCAGAGGGAAUUCCUGGUGUAGCGGUGAAAUGCGUAGAGAUCAGGAAGAACAUCGGUGGCGAAGGCGCUCUGCUGGACCAUAACUGACACUCAGGGACGAAAGCGUGGGGAGCAAACAGG
rnacentral:rRNA from 1 species